AGGGUUCGAUUCUGGCUCAGGACGAACGCUGGCGGCGUGCUUCAUACAUGCAAGUCGAACGAGAAAUCUACUUCGGUAGAUGGAAAGUGGCGGACGGGUGAGUAAUAUGUAGAGAAUCUGCCCUAGAGAGGGGGGCAACCGUUGGAAACGACAGCUAAUACCCCAUAUGAGCGUACCUGAAAUGGUAUUCUUGAAAACUCCGGUGCUCUGGGAUGAGUCUGCAUCUGAUUAGCUAGUUGGGGGUGUAAUGGACCACCAAGGCGACGAUCAGUAGCUGGUUUGAGAGGAUGAUCAGCCACAAUGGGACUGAGACACGGCCCAUACUCCUACGGGAGGCAGCAGUAGGGAAUUUUGCGCAAUGGGCGAAAGCCUGACGCCAGCAACGCCGCGUGAUCGAGACGCUUUUCGGAGUGUAAAGAUCUGUCACAGGGGACGAACGAUGACGGUACCCUGAGAGGAAGCACCGGCUAACUCCGUGCCAGCCGCGGC
rnacentral:rRNA from 1 species